rnacentral:tRNA from 1 species
GCCCGUGUAGCUCAAUGGCAGAGCUGAUGGUUUGUACCCAUCAGAAGGGGGUUCGAUUCCUCCUACGGGCU